GAUGAACGCUGGCGGCGUGCCUAAUACAUGCAAGUCGAGCGAACAGACGAGGAGCUUGCUCCUCCGACGUUAGCGGCGGACGGGUGAGUAACACGUGGAUAACCUACCUAUAAGACUGGGAUAACUUCGGGAAACCGGAGCUAAUACCGGAUAAUAUAUUGAACCGCAUGGUUCAAUAGUGAAAGACGGUUUUGCUGUCACUUAUAGAUGGAUCCGCGCCGCAUUAGCUAGUUGGUAAGGUAACGGCUUACCAAGGCGACGAUGCGUAGCCGACCUGAGAGGGUGAUCGGCCACACUGGAACUGAGACACGGUCCAGACUCCUACGGGAGGCAGCAGUAGGGAAUCUUCCGCAAUGGGCGAAAGCCUGUCGGAGCAACGCCGCGUGAGUGAUGAAGGUCUUCGGAUCGUAAAACUCUGUUAUUAGGGAAGAACAAAUGUGUAAGUAACUAUGCACGUCUUGACGGUACCUAAUCAGAAAGCCACGGCUAACUACGUG
rnacentral:rRNA from 1 species